UUUAAACAUGAUUUAUGGAUAUGCAGGUUCCUGAGGGGGACAACACUACAAAGGGAGAGGUACUGAUUGCAUAUACUUGUGGUUAACUAUAAUCCUAUACUAAUCUUAGGACCCAUCUGUAAAUUCAUUGGAUUAAAUGUCCCAUGGAAUUUUCAAUUUUCCCAUGUGCUAUUUUAACUCCCAAAUGAGGUACAAAUUCAUUGUUUGGGAUGGAUGCAGUUUAUAAUUAGUUUUUACUCCCAAAUGAGGUACAAAUUCAUUAUUUGGGAUGGAUGCAGUUUAUAAUUAGUUUGAUACUAGGUUUGAACACAUUUUGGGUUGUUUGUGGUGUUUGGUUCCCUUUUUUAAUGGCCCAAAUGUGACUUGAUGAAUUUGUUCCUUUUAUUGCUAUAAGAAAAGACCAUGCAACGUGUGUGCAAGGGCUGUGAGAGUUUCAAUACGCGCCAUUAGCUUUAUUUAAAAUUUUGAUUUGUUUGCCACUUGGAUUUGCAUGCUAAGAAGAGGAAGAUUGUUGACAGAAGAGCCUCUGAAGAGUCGCAAGAUAAGGCACAAUGUUCAUGUGAAGAUAGUAAAUUUCAUGGCUUCAGAGACUCUGGCCGUUCCUCCUUUACUUCUUGACCUCAAUAAUUUGUUCAGGUUGAAGAAAUAGAAACCAGCUUCUUUAGUGUAGUAGCGAUGCAAGGCUGAACCAGCUGUAAAGUCCUUGGAUCUCAGGCUAAGAAAUUGCCUGUUAAUUGUUUGAUAUAUAUAUAUAUAUAUAUAUAUAUAAUUCUAUCUAAUAUCUGUUGUAUUCAUAUUUAUGCAAUUUACACAAUUUCAAUGGGGAGCCGAGUCUUGAAGAAUGAUUUUGUUGUAAAUGGCAACUAAGAUUUGUAACUUUGUCAUUUAUAAGCGGAUAGGAUGUUUUGUU